AUUGAACGCUGGCGGAAUGCUUUACACAUGCAAGUCGAACGGCAGCACGGGGGCAGCCCUGGUGGCGAGUGGCGAACGGGUGAGUAAUACAUCGGAACGUGCCCGGUCGUGGGGGAUAACGUAGCGAAAGCUACGCUAAUACCGCAUACGAUCUGAGGAUGAAAGCGGGGGACCUUCGGGCCUCGCGCGAUCGUGGCGGCCGAUGUCAGAUUAGGUAGUUGGUGGGGUAAAGGCCUACCAAGGCGACGAUCUGUAGAUGGUCUGAGAGGACGACCAGCCACCCUGGGACUGAGACACGGCCCAGACUCCUGCGGGAGGCCGCAGUGGGGAAUUUUGGACGAGGGGGGCAAGCCUGAUCCAGCCAUUCCGCGUGCAGGACGAAGGCCUUCGGGUUGUAAACUGCUUUUGUACGUAAGGAAAAGGCUCUGGCUAAUACCUGGGGCUCAUGACGGUACCGGAAGAAUAAGCACCGGCUAACUACGUG
rnacentral:rRNA from 1 species